rnacentral:rRNA from 1 species
GUGGGGAAUUUUGGACAAUGGGCGCAAGCCUGAUCCAGCCAUGCCGCGUGCAGGAUGAAGGCCUUCGGGUUGUAAACUGCUUUUGUACGGAACGAAAAGACUCUGGUUAAUACCUGGGGUUCAUGACGGUACCGUAAGAAUAAGCACCGGCUAACUACGUGCCAGCAGCCGCGGUAAUACGUAGGGUGCGAGCGUUAAUCGGAAUUACUGGGCGUAAAGCGUGCGCAGGCGGUUAUAUAAGACAGAUGUGAAAUCCCCGGGCUCAACCUGGGAACUGCAUUUGUGACUGUAUAGCUAGAGUACGGUAGAGGGGGAUGGAAUUCCGCGUGUAGCAGUGAAAUGCGUAGAUAUGCGGAGGAACACCGAUGGCGAAGGCAAUCCCCUGGACCUGUACUGACGCUCAUGCACGAAAGCGUGGGGAGCAAACAGGAUUAGAUACCCGUGUAGUCC